GACGAACGCUGGCGGCGUGCCUAAUACAUGCAAGUCGAACGCAUUUUCUUUCACCGUAGCUUGCUACACCGAAAGAAAAUGAGUGGCGAACGGGUGAGUAACACGUGUGUAACCUGCCCAUCAGCGGGGGAUAACACUUGGAAACAGGUGCUAAUACCGCAUAAUUCCAUUUACUGCAUGGUAGAUGGAUGAAAGGCGCUUUUGCGUCACUGAUGGAUGGACCCGCGGUGCAUUAGCUAGUUGGUGGGGUAACGGCCUACCAAGGCUGCGAUGCAUAGCCGACCUGAGAGGGUGAUCGGCCACCAUGGGACUGAGACACGGCCCAGACUCCUACGGGAGGCAGCAGUAGGGAAUCUUCGGCAAUGGACGCAAGUCUGACCGAGCAACGCCGCGUGAGUGAAGAAGGUUUUCGGAUCGUAAAACUCUGUUGUUAGAAAAGAACAAGGAUGAGAGUGGAAAGUUCAUCCCUUGACGGUAUCUAACCAGAAAGCCACGGCUAACUACGUG
rnacentral:rRNA from 1 species